rnacentral:rRNA from 1 species
GUUCACGUUGGGCCAGCAGCCGCGGUAAUCGGAGUGCGGCUGGACGUGUGCGUGAUGACUGCUCGGAAAGUGGCGCUAGGCGGCUUUGCAAGUCAGGGGUGAAAUCCUUGGGCUCAACCCAAGAACUGACGUGGAAACUGUAAAGCUGGAGUGUCGGAGGGGAUAGCGGAAUUCCUAAUGUAGUGGUGAAAUACGUAGAUAUUAGGAGGAACACCGGUGGCGAAGGCGGCUAUCUGGACGACAACUGACGCUGAGGCGCGAAAGCGCGGGGAUCAAACAGGAUUAGAUACCCGAGUAGUC